GAUGAACGCUGGCGGCGUGCCUAAUACAUGCAAGUCGAGCGAACGGACGAGAAGCUUGCUUCUCUGAUGUUAGCGGCGGACGGGUGAGUAACACGUGGAUAACCUACCUAUAAGACUGGGAUAACUUCGGGAAACCGGAGCUAAUACCGGAUAAUAUUUUGAACCGCAUGGUUCAAAAGUGAAAGACGGUCUUGCUGUCACUUAUAGAUGGAUCCGCGCUGCAUUAGCUAGUUGGUAAGGUAACGGCUUACCAAGGCAACGAUGCAUAGCCGACCUGAGAGGGAGAGCGGCCACACUGGAACUGAGACACGGUCCAGACUCCGACGGGAGGCAGCAGUAGGGAAUCUUCCGCAAAGGGCGAAAGCCUGACGGAGCAACGCGGCGUGAGUGAUGAAGGUCUUCGGAUCGUAAAACUCUGUUAUUAGGGAAGAACAAAUGUGUAAGUAACUAUGCACGGCUUGACGGUACCUAAUCAGAAAGCCACGGCUAACUACGUG
rnacentral:rRNA from 1 species